ensembl:snRNA U6 U6 spliceosomal RNA
GUGCUCACUUUGGCAGCACAUAUACUAAAAUAUUAACAAUACAGAGACGAUUAGCAUGGCCACUGUGCAAGGAUGACAUGCAAAUAAGUGAAGGAUUUCAUGUGUUU